UACCUGGCGUGGCCCUCACCCUGGGCCGACAGAACUGGCACUGCCUAAAGGACACGUACGAGACCCUCGCCACCGACGUACAGUGGAAAGUGCGCCGGACGCUGGCGUUCUCCAUCCACGAUCUGGCCCUGAUCCUGGGGGACCAGCUGACGGCGGCCGACCUGGUGCCCAUCUUCAACGGCUUCCUUAAGGACCUGGACGAGGUGCGCAUCGGCGUGCUCAAACACCUCUAUGACUUCCUCAAGCUGCUCCAUGCGGAGAACAGGA